UUUGCGGCAGCGCUCCUCGGUCAGCGUCAAGCAGAUCAGGCCCCGCCCAUGCGUCGCCAUGAAAUUGAUCGCCGCCGGGGUGACGAAAUCGGCGGCCAGGACCA
rnacentral:antisense_RNA from 1 species